rnacentral:rRNA from 1 species
AAGUCGAACGGCAGCACGGAGCUUGCUCUGGUGGCGAGUGGCGAACGGGUGAGUAAUAUAUCGGAACGUACCCAGGAGUGGGGGAUAACGUAGCGAAAGUUACGCUAAUACCGCAUACGUCCUAAGGGAGAAAGUGGGGGCUCGCAAGACCUCAUGCUCAUGGAGCGGCCGAUAUCUGAUUAGCUAGUUGGUAGGGUAAAAGCCUACCAAGGCAUCGAUCAGUAGCUGGUCUGAGAGGACGACCAGCCACACUGGAACUGAGACACGGUCCAGACUCCUACGGGAGGCAGCAGUGGGGAAUUUUGGACAAUGGGGGCAACCCUGAUCCAGCAAUGCCGCGUGAGUGAAGAAGGCCUUCGGGUUGUAAAGCUCUUUUGUCAGGGAAGAAAAGGGUCUGGCUAAUAUCUAGGCCUCAUGACGGUACCUGAAGAAUAAGCACCGGCUAACUACGUGCCAGCAGCCGCGGUAAUACGUAGGGUGCAAGCGUUAAUCGGAAUUACUGGGCGUAAAGCGUGCGCAGGCGGUUUUGUAAGACUGUCGUGAAAUCCCCGGGCUCAACCUGGGAAUGGCGAUGGUGACUGCAAGGCUAGAGUUUGGCAGAGGGGGGUAGAAUUCCACGUGUAGCAGUGAAAUGCGUAGAUAUGUGGAGGAACACCGAUGGCGAAGGCAGCCCCCUGGGUCAAAACUGACGCUCAUGCACGAAAGCGUGGGGAGCAAACAGGAUUAGAUACCCUGGUAGUCCACGCCCUAAACGAUGUCUACUAGUUGUCGGGUCUUAAUUGACUUGGUAACGCAGCUAACGCG